AAGGGAGACCUAAUUCGGGUAGGAGACGAAAAAAUAGUAGUCGAAACCAAGAAUCAAUCCCAAAAGGUCGGAACGAGGUGGCUUUCAAACUAGGUUCUGGGUUCAUAAAAGACCUGAAUCAGGAACAAGGGCUAUUAGCUCAGGUGGUUAGAGCGCACCCCUGAUAAGGGUGAGGUCCCUGGUUCGAGUCCAGGAUGGCCCACCUGCACAGGUGGCAAAAACAAGAGAAACGAGGAAUCAGCACCUUAUCUUACUCAUAUAGUAAGAGAGAAUGCUGGCUCUGAGUAAAGAGUCCAGAGGAACCUUGAAAACUGCAUAGAGCUAGGUGAAAAAGCCAAAAAAGAAGACCGCAAG
rnacentral:tRNA from 1 species